rnacentral:sRNA from 1 species
GACAGUGCUGACGCUACAAGGCUCGGAGCUCCGGGCACUCAGACAUCAUGAGUUGGUCCUUGCACCCCCGGAAUUUAAUUCUCUACUUCUAUGCUCUUUUAUUUCUCUCUUCAACAUGUGUAGCAUAUGUUGCUACCAGAGACAACUGCUGCAUCUUAGAUGAAAGAUUCGGUAGUUAUUGCCCAACUACCUGUGGCAUUGCAGAUUUCCUAUCUACUUAUCAAACCAAAGUAGACAAGGAUCUACAGUCUUUGGAAGACAUCUUACAUCAAGUUGAAAACAAAACAUCAGAAGUCAAACAGCUGAUAAAAGCAAUCCAACUCACUUAUAAUCCUGAUGAAUCAUCAAAACCAAAUAUGAUAGACGCUGCUACUAUGAAGUCCAGGAAAAUGUUAGAAGAAAUUAUGAAAUAUGAAGCAUCGAUUUUAACACAUGACACAAGUAUUCGAUAUUUGCAGGAAAUAUAUAAUUCAAAUAAUCAAAAGAUUGUUAACCUGAAAGAGAAGGUAGCCCAGCUUGAAGCACAGUGCCAGGAACCUUGCAAAGACACGGUGCAAAUCCAUGAUAUCACUGGGAAAGGUAACUGAUGAAGGUUAUAUUGGGAUUAUGUUCAUCAAAGUAAAUAAUGUAAAGGAGAAAGUAUGUACUGGAAAGUAUAGGAAUAGUUUAGAAAGUGGCUACCCAUUAAGUCUAAGAAUUUCAG